AUGCAAGGUCUGUGUUAUCUUUCUCCUGCCUGCUCAAGGUACAACUACGCAAUGACCCUACAACUGCUGGGCCUGGAUGAUGAGGGGGCUGAGCCCGGUGCACGGGAUCCUGCCCUGAUGAGAGGGGCCUACUUGUCCUUUCUGUAUCUGCGCCACCUGCGGAUCAGGGAGCUGCAGCGCAUCUGCUUGGGAAUUCUGAACUAUUUCAGAUCCGUGGAGCGAACCUUGACCAUCAACACUUCAGGCCUUACUGUGGCUUCAGGGGACAUGGUCCCUACCAUGGAAGACAGUUGCUGGGCAAACGUGGCCAAAGAAGGCUUGGGCGCCUCGCAAGGCCUCGGGUCCUCUGCCGAGCACAAGGCCCACAGCACCCAAUUCGGGGAGUUCUCUGAAGUGGAGGACCAGGAUGACUAUUACAGCAUGGCUGCUGGCUGCAUCCACAGCCAGGACCAGCACGGGGUGUACGUCAUGUAUGAUGAAGCCCUGAGUGACCUGCAGGGGCUGGAGGCUGAGCUGCUGCUUGUGGCCAGCCAUUACAUCCAGAAAGAAAAAGGUGAGAAGUCGGAUUUUAGAAAGUCAUCUGGGCAGGCAGACUGAAACCACGGAGGGUUCCACAGAGCACUCCCCACCCCAGCGUAUGACAUAUAUCCAAUAGUAUCUAAAAACUCAACAAAGCACACUCCACUACCAGCAGCACACACUCACUCUAGGAAAGAUGCGGUUCUGUCUGCAGCUCCAGCUGCCUGCUGCCAGAGGAGACUGUGAGUACCCCCUCAGGCUGCACUGUGAUUCUUGCUGGUGUGCAGACUCUGAUGCCCCAGGGACCUCUCUAUGUCCCCCACUGGGUGCAGGGUCCUUAGGGGAGCAAAGCAAGCAAGUGAAAUGAGGGACUUUUCUCUAAGCAGCUGACCUUGAGGAAACUGACCCUGAGAGCACAGACAUCCCUGGGUUCAUAACGGCAAGUGCCCACCACACGAGCAGAUCUGGAUAGGACAGUGCCAGACCAGCCCGCAGGACAGGAGUAUUGUGCAGGGGACUCUGGUAACCUCUACUCUGUGUUCUUCCUUUGGACACCAGCAUCAGAAAUUUCCAAUUUUAGAAAUAGAUGAGGUAAGAGUUUUUUUUUUUUUUUGGCAGGGGAACAUGAUAGCAUUCAACUUACAUUUGGAAAGAACUUAGAAUUUCUAGACACAUUGCAACACCUCAAGGGAAAUUUAGCAAGAGUUUGAGCUAUGGUGAAAUAUAUGCAGACUGUAAUUAGGGAUAAUUCAUGUUCAUAUUGUUAUAAAACACUUAUCAAAGGGUUUAGACUAAGCAACUUUCCCGGUCCCAGACAAUUAAUUUAAUAUAGGAUGGGACUCUUUGUCCUGUCUUUGCCACAAUCAUUGCUAUCUGAAUCAUGGGAUACAGUGAUGGCACCCCACAUUCUGGGGCAUUUAAUUUCAGUCACUAGCUUUUAUUGUUAUUGGUGACCCUACACACUAAUGCAUCAUUGCUGUCUGUGCUAAUUUAUUAUGCAACUGUUUCUAGCUGCAGAGAAUUUAAUUUGAUUGAAACACUUAGUCACUUAGCCACACGGGCGUCUUUCAGUGCAGCUGGUCAGACCCUAGUCGUCCACUGUGACUUGAUUUCUCGUCUGCUGAGAGAGCAGGUCCUGGUUAGAGUGUUGCCCUCACUUAGUGUCCAUCGGAUGUGUGGUAAUCACUGAACUCACAUCUCUUACUUCCUGCUAUUUCAUCCUCAAUAGGCCACUGAAAAAUUUAAAACAAUAGCAAUACUGGUACUCAAAACUAAUAUUAAUAUAGUAGAAAAAUACUUCAGAUAACAACACAUAAUAAUCUAAUGAAAAAAUAUUUUUAAAGCUCAUAGAAAAUGUAGGUUAUGUAAAAACUAGGCAUGGUUGUCAGAAUUCCAAUUUUAAUUCCAUUUUUCCACCACCUUUUGGAAGUACAAUGUAUUUCAGCUGAAUAAUCAUGGUGAUUACCUUUAUUAAGUUAGCAACUAGCACAUUUAAGAAAUAUCCUGGAAACAGCUCUGAAAAAAUUUGACUUAGCUAAUAUUAAUGGAACUACAAGGUUAAAUUGGAUUUAUUGUUAAACCACCAGGGGUCUGUUUUUAGAAAAGGAGACAUUUAUGCUUUGCCUGAAUAUUAUGGGUUUGAAGACAUUUUAGCAUCGAUUUCACGUUAACUGAAUUUUGGUUUCAUGUCUAAAAUUAGUCUUUCAGACUCAAAUUAGAAAUGAAAACAAAAACUUGGGUUGCCUUGGAAGUCUUCAGGUCUCAAGGCACUGAGGGCUUCUUCGGGCCUCUUUGUAGAGAGUUCCAAGGCCGGGUGUUAGGAGUCCCAGUGACUGGUUCGGUGUUUGCAUCCCGAACGUGGAGCUGAAAAUCCGAGGGGCCCAUUUCCAAGGGGAGCAGCUUUGGUGAGAGGCCUGUGUCUGAUCACUUCCACCUGCUCCCCCUUCUCCCCAGGUCACAAAGAGGGCAGUGAGGUGGAAAGUGGCCAGCACUGGGGAUGGGCCCACGCGAGUGUGGACAGGUUUGCAGUGCUGUAUCACCUGUGGACUUGGGAAGCCACUCUUCUGGAAAACAAGCGCCAGGUAUUUUUUUUUAAAUUAAAAAAGAUUUAUUUAUUUAUUCGAAAGGCAGAAUGACAGAGAGAGAAAGACAAAGACAGAGAGGGAGAGAAAUAUCUCCCAUCUGUUCAUUCAAGACCAAAAUGGCCAUGAUGGGCAGGGUGUGGCCAGGCCAAAGGCAGAAGCCUGGAACUCCAUCCAGGUCUCCCACAUGGGUGCUCCAGGUGUUUUUCAUUAGAAGGCACAACACCUGUUAAAAACCAGUCUUAAAAACAAAGCCCGAUAGUAAUUGCUGUUGUUAAACCCAGUGGGAGCUUCAGGUCAGCUGUCAACAACUGAAUACUUAUUUUAUUUCAAUCAUCUCAGCAAAUUAUGAGGACGUGAGUAGCAAGUUUUCCUCCCUGUGAUUCUGCCUCACACACACACACACACACACAAAUACAACGUGAAGGAUGCACCUUUAUCUUAUGGUGUAACCUGUGAGAUUGCUGUACAGUUUAGGCCUUUCUCAUAAGAUGUGUGCUUUAAAAAAAAAAAAAGAUUUAUUUAUUUAUUUGCAAACCAGAGUUACACAGAGAGAGGAGAGGCAGAGAGAGCAUUUUCCAUCCUAUGGUUCACUCCCCAGAUGGCUGCAACGGCUGGAACUGUGCUGAUCCGAAGCCAGGAGCCAGGAGCUUUUUCCAGGUCUCCCACAUGGGUGCAGGGGCCCCAGGACCUGGGCCAUCUUCUACCACUUUCACAGGCUGUAGCAGAGAGCUGGAUGGGAAGUGGAGCAGCUGGGAGUAGAACUGGCGCCCAUAUGGGAUGCUGGCGCUCCAGGCCAGGGCAUUAACCCACUGCACCACAGCAGUGGCCCCAUGUGUGCUUUUAGAGAGGAGGGAGGAUGGUUCCAAACGUGCCCAUGGUCUAAUCAUAAGGACCAGCCUCACUUUGCAAGAUGCAAGCUGACUGACCUGUUCGUGGCCUUUAGAAAUACAUGCGACGUGUGCGUGGGGGAAAGGAGUUGGACAAAGGGUGCUGAGUGCAGUGAAUUACAAGGGAUGCGUUUAAAGCCAGGAGGCAGGAAGUUACUAAAUCAUCGUAGCAUCAGGAAUGGCUCAUGGUUCAGUAAUAAAUGCAGCACUACAGGUGUACUGCCCUUUGUU
rnacentral:lncRNA from 1 species